rnacentral:lncRNA from 1 species
CGUCCUGGCUGUUUUCCCAGCAAAUCUAAGGCUCCAGCUUGAUAAAUGACAGGUAAGUUAACCUAUCAGAGGUCAGUAGAGAUGGGAAGAGCAGAAAACUGAGUUCAAAUAAACUACUGGGCUUCAAAACAACUAAACUCCUUUACUGAGAUUCUUUUAUUUAUUUUAAUGUACAGAGCUUUGAACUUCUGCCCCCUGGAUAGUCGCUAAAGUCAAUGACACACUGGACAAAUUUGCAUGAAAUCAGGGGACUUCAAGCAAAGAACUUGAAAGCUGCAGUUUGAUGACACACAACACUCCGAGGGAUCCUCUGUAGACUUUUCUACUUUUUGAACUGGAGUAUACAUUUUCAGCCCUGACCCCAAAAGGGAUUCAGCAGGUUAGAAGGAUGGAUGGAUAUACAUUUUCAGCAGAAACAUCAAAGGUGUUCCAAUAAUUCAUGCGGUGUCAACUCCUGCACGACCAUUCCUUAACUUCAGAGGCGCAGGAGCAGAAGAGAUCCCAGAUUUAUGAGAUGCUGAUGGACGGUGAAGGCGGGGGUGCAGAGUUUGAAAAAAAAGGAGGAGAUAAGGCCAACUUCAAAGAGGAAAAACGUGCUGCGUUUUAAAUUGAAGCUGUGCUGUUAUCCUGUUGUCCCGCCUCCCACAUGGGGGUAACCACCCAUGAUGACAACCAAGCAAAAUGAUGAUUUUUUUGCACAAUUUUCCCAUUUUUACAUUUUACUUCCUGUUGAAGAGUAAAUUGGCUUUUACUUUUUAACAUUUCUUCCAAGAGUUUGUUUCUGUAAUUUCUCAAAACCGAUGAAUGUGACAUGAUUCAAAGGGUUUUUAACUUCCUCUGCCUUUGCUUAUUGCCUUUUCACUAAGCACCUUAUUUGCUUCCACAUUGUUUUCUUUUUCUACCCCUUGCAGAGUCUCUCUUUCAUUUCAGUCAGGCAGGGGAGCUGCAGAAGUCUGAUGCUUGAUGUGUGUUGUGUGCUGGUCCUGAAGAGACAUAGUGAGGGUAUAAAUAGAGCAGGCCCACAGAUCGCUGUGCCAGACAGAAUGCAGCAUCUGCUGUGCUGGGAGUGCAAAGUGUUUGAGAGCUUUUAAACUCUCCAUUUCUUUCCCCUUAUCUCUCUGUCUCUCGUCUUUCUUUUUCUAUACCUCUUACUGCCUGAACUCAUCCUCUCCGGCCUAUCACUUGUGUCAUGUCCCUCUUUUCUUCCACAGUUUUCCCUUAUUACCGUUUUGCGGUUCCCCUUCAUUCCGACCCUCCCCUGCUCUUACUCCUUGUAACCCCCCCCCCCCCCCCC